GAAGCGGGAAGAGCUCAAGCUGAGAAUCUUCGGAAUUGUAGUCUAUGGGCGCUGUCUCGGCUGGAGCUGNGGUAUAAAUCCGNCCUGGGAUGCGGUUGCCAGAGAGGGUUCGAGCCCCGUCUUUGACCCAGGGUACAGCUAGAUGAGGGAGUGCCGGCGAGUCGGCUUGCUUGGGAAUGCAGGUCAAAGUGGGUGGUAAACUCCAUCUAAAGCUAAAUAUUGGCGAGAGACCGAUAGCGAACAAGUACUGUGAAGGAAAGAUGGAAAGAACUUUGAAAAGAGAGUGAAAUAGGGCUUGAAAUUGUUAAGAGGCAAGUGGAUGGAGCAUAUCAUGCUCGAGGGGGUCAGAGGUGCCCUUCGGGGCAUUGUCACGCCCUCGGGCUGGUCAGCAUCGGUUCUGGCGGUGGGAGAAAGCCGUAGACGGGUCGCCCCCUGGGCGGCUCGGGUGCGGGGAAACCACGGCGGGGACCGAGGCAGGAAGGGCGCGCUAGGCGGACGGCCCUCGCGAUGCCAACGGCAGUCGCUCGUACCCUACGGUGUGCGGGCGGGGGCUGGGGGUAAGUGCGGGGAGCGCUGGACCGGCGCCCUGAAGAUGCUGGCACAAGUGGCUUCAACCAGCCCGUCUUGAAACACGGACCAAGGAGUCUAACACAUAUGCGAGUAGUAAGGUGGCAAACCUUGGGUGCGAAAUGAAAGUGAGAGGUGGGACCCGCAAGGAGCACCAUCGACCGACCGCGUUUAGAGUAGGUUUGAGUAAGAGCAUAUUUGUUGGGACCCGAAAGAUGGUGAACUAUGCCUGAAUAGGGUGAAGCCAGAGGAAACUCUGGUGGAGGCUCGUAGCGGUACUGACGUGCAAAUCGUUCGUCAAAUUUGGGUAUAGGGGCGAAAGACUAAUCGAACCAUCUAGUAGCUGGUUCCCUCCG
rnacentral:rRNA from 1 species